rnacentral:lncRNA from 1 species
CUUGUGGCUACGGUCAUUCCUCCCUGGCGCAGAGGCAAAGCAGUGCAAGGACGCGCCAGUUCCUUGAAGAUGCUGCUCGCUGCAAGGAAACGAAGGCAAAAAGGAAGCAGUUCAACUGAACAGCCUCGUGUCACAAUGUUGGUGUGAGGUGAAGCCAGAACCCUGCCCCUCAACGCUGCUGUCCCUCCGGGCCUGCAGAGGCUUCAACGAGCGAGUUGCCAACGUGACAAUUAGUCCCCAGGUCCAUUAAAGCUGUUUGAUGAGCCAGGUUUUCUACGGCAUGGACUUGGUGCUGCCAGCAACCCUGCUGUCCUGCCUGAGACUCCACUUGCACUGCCUGCCUCUCAUUCCUGAGCUUUCUGUUCCGAGGACACAUCCACACCGCUCUCAGGAUGUCCUGGUGAGCCUCUUGUGCCACAAGAGAAGUGGGAUUUUGUUAAGGAGGAGGCUCUGCAGCCCUGUUUGUGCAGUGGAAGAGGUUUCCCAGCACUCGCUGGUGAGGCCAUCACUGAAGAGCUGCGGCUCUCAGCCCAUCUGCAACACACCAAACGCCAGCGUUAGGAUCCUGCUCCCACCCUUCGAACCCCCCUUUAACAACGCCGGGGAGUGCAAGGCCUGAACUGAGCAUAACCCCCAUGGGCUUGGCAAAACCAGCUGGAAAUUAGCUCUUCAGCUGUCAUGUGCCUGCAAAGACAUGCACCACGCUACCCCCCCGAUUGCAGAGCUGUCAAAUCAUCGGAUUUUAUACCCAUCUUAAAGCAGAAAGCCUCCAAAAUCUCACUGCUUCGCAUCUAACCCCCGUCCCCUUAAGGCCAGGGGAUGAGCCGACACCACCUGCCUAUUGCAGCAGGAGGGAGACGCGGCGGAGCCCUCCUGAAGGGAACUCGCCCGGUGCCACGGGCAGGGACUCAACCCAGCCCCAGGGGAGCUGAGCCCGGAGGGGCUGGGCAGCUCACACAGUGCUGGGGGGGGGGGGUGUUUGGGGAAGUUUGAUGAAAACCAGCCUUUUUGUGGCAGGGACACCCCCCCCCCCCCCCCCCGGUUGUUUCCACAGCCCCAGAGCACGGCCUUUGUAACCCUGAGCCAAGCUUGGCUCCUGUUUGUUAUGAGCUUGUGGCGUUACCCCCUCGGCCCCGGCAACAGGCAACGGCUUUUGGGGUUAAGUCUCUCCAAGUGCCGCCGGUAGCAGCGGCGAGGGGAGGCCAUGUUAACUGUGAUCCACUGGAUCCUGACAGGGAAAGCUCCCGCCAGGAAUCCCGCUGGGAAUCCCUUUGGGAAUCCGGCUGUGCUUCGGCUAAAACGUGUGAAACAAAGGAUUAAACUCCAGAGGUUAUUUCCCCCCCCUCAAUGGUGUGUUAGAGCUGCGUUGCGAGGUGGCACAGUGGAGAACGGCAGUGAUUCCUCCUUCCAGGAAUCACCAUUCCCAAGCCAAACCCCGCUUCCACCAUCAACCUGCGCUCCUCCUCCCAGCUCUGCCCCCACCGGGGGGCCGGCAGAGCCCAGCC